rnacentral:sRNA from 1 species
CUCCGGGAAGUGCAAUGACCAGCUGCGAUCCCAGGAGGUUAAGGGUUCUCUGUCUGUGUUGGGCUUGGGAAUGCAGCACACGGAGAUGAGAAACAGAUGUCGGAGCUGGACUGAGCUUUUGCGCUCCCCCGCCCGCCCGGUCCUUUCCCCAGCAGCCAGGGUGUAACAAGGCAGCACUCAUCCUGUGGCCACGUGAACUGGCAGCUACUGGGUGCCGAUCCCCGUGGGGAAAAGCUACAAGAAAAACAAACAAACAAAAUAACUAAUAAAGAAGCUUGCCCUUGCUGGAAAGGCUGUGACAGGAGCUCAAGUCACUUUAGUUUGCAGACAGUGAUCCGCGCCCCCCCUUCCUGUAGUGGAUUCAAUAGGAGUUGUUUUUUGUUGUUUUGUUUUUGAGACCCGGUCUCACUGUGUAGACCAGGCUGGCCUUGAACUUACAGAGAACCGCUUGCCUCUGUCUACCAAGCGCUACUAUUAAAGGCAAGUGCCACCAAGCAUGGCCGGGUUUUUCUUUAAAACAAAACAAACAAACAAACAAACCCAAAACACAUUGAUUUAUAACUGCUGUCUGGGGGCCCUUUGUCAUGGAGAGGUCACUUACUGUGCGAGGAAGGCAGAGAUUUAGAGAGGUAGACCUAACAAAGCGCGGGUGGGGGAAGGGAGGCACCUGCGCAAAGUGUUAAAAACUGCUACUACGCCAGAUGCGCUAAAUGUGACGCUGUUCUUUACAACAGUGAUCCUCCUGCCUGCAAGAGCCAGGCCUCUGACUGCCUGGUCGCGGCGAAUCCAGGAGGUGCACAGACUGCAAACCAGGGGGAGAGGAUCAGCGCCUGCAGAUUGAGCUCCAUCUGAUUUGCAUGUUUAUUCCCUAGAAUUGUAAUUAAAUUUGUGUAAUAAAUGUUUUCCAUUUCAUUUGUACACUCAAAAUUUGGGUGACUGACAUGCGGCUAAGUAAAUUUCCUUUUUUUUUAUUUUAUGAAGCAAAUGUGCCUUAUUCAAUAAAGUAGCUAAUAUUAACCAUCACCAGGACUAA